rnacentral:misc_RNA from 1 species
GAAAUGCGAUAAGUAAUGUGAAUUGCAGAAUUCAGUGAAUCAUCGAAUCUUUGAACGCACAUUGCGCCCGCCAGUAUUCUGGCGGGCAUGCCUGUCCGAGCGUCAUUUCAACCAUCAAGCCCCCGGGCUUGUGUUGGGGACCUGCGGCUGCCCGCAGGCCCUGAAAACCAGUGGCGGGCUCGCUGUCACACCGAGCGUAGUAGCAAUCACCUCGCUCAGGCGUGCUGCGGGUUCCGGCCGUUAAACAGCCUUACAAAACCCAAGGUUGACCUCGGAUCAGGUAGGAAGACCCGCUGAACUUAAGC